rnacentral:lncRNA from 1 species
GCAAGACUCUUGUCUCCAAAAAAAAAAAAAAAAGGCAGAAAAGAUUUCCUGAAUUUUUAUUGCAGAAUUUACCAGGUACUUGUGCACAUUAAUAGGUGAUUUCUGUGGGCAGCUUCUCUAAUCCUGGUCCACAGAGAGCUGACAGAGCAUCCAGAUGUGGCCCCUGAACAAUCCCUGCUGCCCAACAGCACUGACACCACGGGGCCCUCACCCCGUCUCCACCCACGUCUGGGUGUGAGCCCUUCCCAGGAUCACGCCCAGUGCAGCCUCUUCCCAAGUUCAUGUCACUGGGUCACAAGAGAUGGAAUCUAAGCGAGAUGAGAGGGACUGAAGGAAGGCAUGGGUGAGUGUGAGCAAACCUGUCAGGCAGGAUGCUUCAGACUCAGAGAAGAUUCUCAACUCCAGCACCCGGCAUUUCAGGAAGAAAUAAGAAACAGAACAAUCUACUGAGAAUAUCACUUUACCUGAACGGAGUCUCACUCUGUCACCCAGGCUGGAGUGCCGUGGCCCGAUCUCAGCUCACUGCAAGCUCCGCCUCCCGGGUUCACACCAUUCUCCUGCCUCAGCCUCCUGAGUAGCUGGGACUACAGGUGCCCGCCAACACGCCCAG